UGAUUGUGAAUCAUUGUGAAUCUAUCAAUCCUACUCCUUAAUAAGAUGAUCAAGUCAUCUUUUACUAAAAAAGAUGAACGAGCCAAUGAUGUUCUGAAUCUGAUAUAUACUGAUGUAUUGGAUCUACAAACAUGCUUGUCAUAAAUUUGAAUUAUUUAAAAUAUUCAAAAAAUUUUAAAAUAAGUUAGAGAAAUAAACUGAGA
rnacentral:lncRNA from 1 species